rnacentral:rRNA from 1 species
GACGAACGCUGGCGGCGUGCCUAAUACAUGCAAGUUGAGCGCUGAAGGUUGGUACUUGUACCAACUGGAUGAGCAGCGCACGGGUGAGUAACGCGUGGGGAAUCUGCCUUUGAGCGGGGGACAACAUUUGGAAACGAAUGCUAAUACCGCAUAAAAACUUUAAACACAAGUUUUAAGUUUGAAAGAUGCAAUUGCAUCACUCAAAGAUGAUCCCGCGUUGUAUUAGCUAGUUGGUGAGGUAAAGGCUCACCAAGGCGAUGAUACAUAGCCGACCUGAGAGGGUGAUCGGCCAAAAUGGGACUGAGACACGGCCCAAACUCCUACGGGAGGCAGCAGUAGGGAAUCUUCGGCCAUGGACGGAAGUCUGACCGAGCAACGCCGCGGGAGGGAAGAAGGUUUUCGGAUCGGAAAAAUCUGUUGGUAGAGAAGAACGUUGGUGAGAGUGGAAAGCUCAUCAAGUGACGGUAACUAACCAGAAAGGGACGGCUAACUACGUG